rnacentral:lncRNA from 1 species
UUUAGGAUGACUCAGGAUUAAACUGUCAACCCUGAUUAGAUCAUCCGAAUCAUGCUCAACUCAAUCAGUCCUGUGACUCCUCACUAAGACUACCCUGACCAAGGUUUUGCUAAAUUAAAACACGACUGUACACAGCUCCUGAACUGGAGUGGUCAAUCCCAUCUUGACACACGCACCGACAAGUCAAGUACUUGACUACACCCAGUAGCCUUCCGUCACUGAAUUAGAAAUUCAGGUAGUCCAGUGUCUAAGUGCAGUGAGUUGCUUGCAAGUCACCAUGGCGGUCUCA